GCUCUGGUGGCAGAGUGGUUAAGUAUUUGGCUGCUAACCUAAAGGUUGGUGGUUCGAACCUACCAGCU
rnacentral:tRNA from 1 species